rnacentral:rRNA from 1 species
AGCGUGGGGAGCGAACAGGAUUAGAUACCCUGGUAGUCCACGCCGUAAACGAUGAGUGCUAGGUGUUGGAUCCUUUCCGGGAUUCAGUGCCGCAGCUAACGCAUUAAGCACUCCGCCUGGGGAGUACGACCGCAAGGUUGAAACUCAAAGGAAUUGACGGGGGCCCGCACAAGCAGUGGAGUAUGUGGUUUAAUUCGAAGCAACGCGAAGAACCUUACCAGGUCUUGACAUCCGAUGCAUAGCGCAGAGAUGCGUGAAGUCCUUCGGGACAUCGAGACAGGUGGUGCAUGGUUGUCGUCAGCUCGUGUCGUGAGAUGUUGGGUUAAGUCCCGCAACGAGCGCAACCCUCGCCCUGUGUUGCCAGCACGUCGUGGUGGGAACUCACGGGGGACCGCCGGGGUCAACUCGGAGGAAGGUGGGGAUGACGUCAGAUCAUCAUGCCCCUUACGUCCAGGGCUUCACGCAUGCUACAAUGGCCGGUACAACGGGAUGCGACCUCGUGAGGGGGAGCGGAUCCCUUAAAACCGGUCUCAGUUCGGAUUGGAGUCUGCAACCCGACUCCAUGAAGGCGGAGUCGCUAGUAAUCGCGGAUCAGCAACGCCGCGGUGAAUGCGUUCCCGGGCCUUGUACACACCGCCCGUCAAGUCAUGAAAGUGGGUAGCACCCGAAGCCGGUGGCCCAACCUUUUUGGGGGGAGCCGUCUAAGGUGAGACUCGUGAUUGGGACUAAGUCGUAACAAGGUAGCCGUACCGGAAGGUGCGGCUG